rnacentral:rRNA from 1 species
GCUUAACGCGAAGAACCUUACCAGGACUUGACAUGGAGGGGACCGGACGAGAGAUCGUUCUUCUUCCGCAAGGAAGCCCCUCACACAGGUGCUGCAUGGCUGUCGUCAGCUCGUGUCGUGAGAUGUUGGGUUAAGUCCCGCAACGAGCGCAACCCUCGUUUUUAGUUGCCAUCAUUCAGUUGGGCACUCUAAAGAGACUGCCGCGAAUAACGCGGAGGAAGGGUGGGGACGACGUCAAGUCAUNAUCGGCCCUUACCGUCCGUGGGCUACACACGUGCUACAAGUGGGCGUCACAGGAGGGUCGCAAGAGCGCAAGCUGGAGACCCAACCCCAAAAACGUCCUCAGUUCAGAUCGAGGUCUGCAACCCGACCUCGUGAAGGUGGAAUCGCUAGUAAUCGCGGAUCAGAACGCCGCGGUGAAUACGUUCCCGGGUCUUGUACACACCG